AGGGGAAUAUUGCACAAGGGGCGCAAGCCUGAUGCAGCCAUGCCGCGCGUGGGAAGAAGGCAUUCGGGUGGGAAAGCACUUUCAGCGGGGAGGAAGGAGGUAAGGCGAAAAACAGUGGCGAAUGAAGGGACCCGCAGAAGAAGCAAAGGAUAACUCCGGGGCAGCAGCCGCGGUAAUACGGAGGGUGCAAGCGUUAAUCGGAAUUACUGGGCGUAAAGCGCACGCAGGCGGUCUGUCAAGUCGGAUGUGAAAUCCCCGGGCUCAACCUGGGAACUGCAUGCGAAACUGGCAGGCUAGAGUCUUGUAGAGGGGGGUAGAAUUCCAGGUGUAGCGGUGAAAUGCGUAGAGAUCUGGAGGAAUACCGGUGGCGAAGGCGGCCCCCUGGACAAAGACUGACGCUCAGGUGCGAAAGCGUGGGGAGCAAACAGG
rnacentral:rRNA from 1 species